CACGUAGGGUGCGAGCGUUGUCCGGAAUUAUUGGGCGUAAAGAGCUCGUAGGCGGUGUGUCGCGUCGGCCGUGAAAACCUGCAGCUUAACUGUGGGCUUGCGGUCGAUACGGGCAUCACUGGAGUUCGGCAGGGGAGACUGGAAUUCCUGGUGUAGCGGUGAAAUGCGCAGAUAUCUGGAGGAACACCGGUGGCGAAGGCGGCAUCCUGGACCGAGACUGACACUGAGGAGCGAAAGCCAGGGGAGCAAACGGG
rnacentral:rRNA from 1 species